GAGAGUAUAACUCAGUGGUAGAGCACAUGCUUAGCAUGCACGAGGUCCUGGGUAUGAUCCCCAGUACCUCCA
rnacentral:tRNA from 1 species